rnacentral:rRNA from 1 species
GAUGAACGCUAGCGACAGGCCUAACACAUGCAAGUCGAGGGGCAUCGGGGCGUAGCAAUACGCUGCCGGCGACCGGCGGAUGGGUGAGUAACGCGUAUGCAACCUACCUUCAGCAGGGGGAUAGCCCGUUGAAAGACGGAUUAAUACCCCAUAACACAGGGGCUCCGCAUGGAGAUUAUUGUUAAAGGGAUGCUUCCUUCGGGGAGUAUUCCGGCUGCAGAUGGGCAUGCGUUCCAUUAGGUAGUUGGUUGAGGUAACGGCUCACCAAGCCUACGAUGGAUAGGGGAACUGAGAGGUUGGUCCCCCACACUGGUACUGAGACACGGACCAGACUCCUACGGGAGGCAGCAGUGAGGAAUCUUGGUCAAUGGACGGAAGUCUGAACCAGCCAUGUCGCGUGAAGGAGGACGGCCCUAAGGGUUGUAAACUUCUUUACUAUGCGACUAACUAGAUUUACGAGAUAAUUCUAUAGAAUGUAGCAUAGCAAAAAGCACCGGCUAACUCCG